UACGUAGGGUCCGAGCGUUGUCCGGAAUUACUGGGCGUAAAGAGCUCGUAGGUGGUUUGUCGCGUUGUUCGUGAAAACUCACAGCUUAACUGUGGGCGUGCGGGCGAUACGGGCAGACUUGAGUACUGCAGGGGAGACUGGAAUUCCUGGUGUAGCGGUGGAAUGCGCAGAUAUCAGGAGGAACACCGGUGGCGAAGGCGGGACUCUGGGGCCGAUACUGAC
rnacentral:rRNA from 1 species